rnacentral:lncRNA from 1 species
UGCAGAUAUAUUUAAUAACUUGACUGGGUUGCAGAAAGAGAAGAGCAAGAGGAAGAUUUCAGGGCAGUGUGUGAGAGAACUUCAGAUAUCACUGGAAAGAGGAUAAGUGCAUGUACACGCAUAAAAGAAGGAGAACAUGCAAAGCUGAAAGGACGAAAAGAUGCUAAGAAUAUCUUUACGGUAAGCUUAAGGAAAUCUCUUCACAGCUGAAUAUUUGCAUUUCAGUAUGACAGUGGUAGUAUCUGAGUUUUCAAUUUUCUGUUUUACA